AGAACUGGUAUUACCCGGUUAUUCACUUAACUCGGGUAAGACCAUCCCGUUACUGCUGUGUAUGCAACGGCACUGAAUGAUACAGACUUGGCAACUUCAGAAACA